UACGUAGGGGGCAAGCGUUGUCCGGAAUCAUUGGGCGUAAAGAGCGUGUAGGCGGUCCGGUAAGUCGGCUGUGAAAGUCCAGGGCUCAACCCUGAGAUGCCAUUCGAUACGGGUCGGCUAGAGGUAGGUAGGGGAGAGUGGAAUUCCUGGUGUAGCGGUGAAAUGCGCAGAUAUCAGGAGGAACACCGGUGGCGAAGGCGGCUCUCUGGGCCUUACCUGACGCUGAGGCGCGAAAGCUGGGGGAGCGAACAGG
rnacentral:rRNA from 1 species